CAGUCGCCACGGUAAUACGUAGGUGGCAAGCGUUGUCCGGAAUUAUUGGGCGUAAAGGGCUCGCAGGCGGUUUCUUAAGUCUGAUGUGAAAGCCCCCGGCUCAACCGGGGAGGGUCAUUGGAAACUGGGAAACUUGAGUGCAGAAGAGGAGAGUGGAAUUCCACGUGUAGCGGUGAAAUGCGUAGAGAUGUGGAGGAACACCAGUGGCGAAGGCGACUCUCUGGUCUGUAACUGACGCUGAGGAGCGAAAGCGUGGGGAGCGAACAGGAUUAGAGACCCCAGUAGUCCCUGUCUCUUAUAC
rnacentral:rRNA from 1 species